rnacentral:lncRNA from 1 species
GGUCCUCGUCUGCGUCUCGGUCGCUGAGCUGGGGGCCGCAAGGAGACCCGAGCAUAUGAGCCGCGAAGAGGGACUACCAGCCAGAGGGCUGUGGUGCUAGGCAACUGAGCGUAUUCCGCCGACGACAACACAAAAAAGCAGUGCGCAUUAUUUCGCCACUACUUGAGCAAAUAAAUGCCUCAUUAAUUACUGCCCGCAGUGGUAGGAAGUCAAGCCCUUGGCAGCUGGGAGGAGUUAAAACACUCACCCGAGUCCGUAAAACUAGAGAAUGUCAGAGUUCAAAGAGCUCUUGCUGAGAAUGACUGUUCCAGACUCGAUGCCAGUGACCCCCAACUUCCACUUAAAAGUUAAAAACAUAUUUUGCAGCUGCUCAGAAAGCCGCCAAUGAGACAACAGGGACUCAAAUAGUAAGAACAGAUGGGCCUCCCGGGCCUGCGCAACCCGAGAGAGGUAAAAACGAAAGGGUGGGUAAGUCUGGAGUCAGGCUUGACAAAAUUAAGUUGCCACUGGCUGCUAAUAAGAGGACAGCCCUUAACAUGGUCAGCGCCUGGAAAGGGCCGCUGACCACACAGCUAUUUUCUGCACCACAUGGAUACAAAGACCACAUCUGAAAUCAUGACUAAACCAGCAGCUUAGAGUGGUGGAAAGGGCAAUGGACUGGGCAGCAGGAAGUCCAGGUUUUAGUUCAAACUGAAUAAUCCCCCUCUAGGGCUGACUGUGCUGGCUCACGCCUGUAAUCUCAACACUUUGGGAAGCUGAGGCAGGAGGAUUGCGUGAGGCCAGUAGUUCCAGAGCAGCUUGGGCAGCAUAGCAAGACUCCGUCUCUAAAAAACAAACUGUAAAAUAUUUAAUAAAAAUAAUAGUAAUCUCUAUCUGGGCCUCAUCUAGACCUUUAGGUGAGUAAGAACCACCUAAUGUAAGAACUUGGGGUACAAAGAGAAUCUAGCUCUGGGGUAGGCAAACUGAGCCAGCCGACCUAAUACAUGGAGCCUACCACCUGUUUUUCUACAGCCCUGAGCUCUAUCUGCCAGAUAGCUAAGCUGGGAUCUCUGAGCUGGUGAAGGGACUUGCCCAUGGAGUCAAGGAAUGCUCAGGGUUCAUGCCUCAGGACUGUUCUCACCAACUUGACUCACCUUUGGGGCUCUAGUGGAGCCCGUGGGCCUUCCGGCAAACAGAAGUAGGCAAUGGGGGUCAGGAAAUGGCCCCCACUGCCUGUCCAGCGUGGUGCCAGCUCAGCCUAGGAUCCCAUGUCCCCUGGCACACCAGUGGUUUGAUAUAACCAGAGGAUCUCCUGCCCAUGAGGGGCGGCAGCGCUCCAGUUACCAACCCCCAAGUGAAAGAUCCUGGAUCAAGUCUUUCCUGAUUGGCCUGCACCCAGAGGCUACGCUACCAGAAGAGGAACUGGACAAGGGCACACCCCAAGAUAUACACGCGUUUUUUCCUUGAAAGGCCCAGGCUUUGAGGAGGCGAUCGCAACCAGUGGGCUGAAUAAAAGAGCAAGUGUCGGCACGGAGAGAGCUAGGCCCGGGCUCACCAAGACAUAGAGCCCGAGGGUUCUGAAAACACUGUUCACGGUGGAGCACGAGGCUCGAGCGCCAGAGACCUCGGAGUUGGGUUUCCACGUGGUUAUUCCCAGCGCCAAGUGGGCGGGGCAGGGGAGGGCGGGGCAAGGCCUCCUCCCAGCUUGGGCCACUCUGAUUGGUCCGCAGCAGCAUGUCUUUCCUGGCGAGUCUGGGCAGGCCAAGCAGCCCCGCCCACCCGCAGCCCAACGCAAAGGGGCGGGACCUAGAGCUGGCUGCAGACUGAGCGCCUUGCACCCAGCAGGUGUCGGGGUGAAAUCAGAGUGUCUAGCCCCUCAUCCCGUGGAGGCUGGCACCCUCGGCCUGAGCUGCACUCAUUGAGUAAACAAAUACAUAAUUGGUGAAUGCGUGAGUGGGUGAGAGAAAUCGAAGGGAAAACCCAAAAUUCUUCCAGGAUUUCAAUGAGAAAUAGCUAUAGAUUUUGUUUUGGUUGUUUUCGCUGUUCUCGGUUCUUACUUUUUCCAUAAUUGGGUGGAAAAAGUUAGAAACACUCGAGAGAGGAAGAAACUGCAAGAGGCAAAUGAAACCCAGGAGAAGCAAGGCAAGGAGGAGCUGGUGAUUCGAGAAUGUGUAAUAAAAAGACGUAAAAGAUGAAUAAAGUGCUCCAGGCCCGGGCAUGCCUGGCCCUUGGCUUCUUGGCUGAGUGGUCCCAGGCUGCACCUCUAGCUCCUGUCCUGGGAAGAAGAAAUCGCCUUACAAGAGGGGCGGAGUGAAGGGAGUGUAUGUGCUAGCGUGUGGGGCUGUGUGUAUGAGUGUGUGUGCAUUUGAGUAUGUGAGUGUGCUUCACUGUGUGUGUGAGGGUAUGUGUGACUGUGUGUGUGUACGCGCGCACGCAUGUGAGUUUGUCUACAUCAUUGGGGGAAAUAUAAUUAAAAACAAAAUCUUCUCCCAGCCCAGAUAACCUCUCCAUAAAGGUAGAAGAGAAAGAAAACAAUUUUCUUGAAUAAACAUUAAAUCAGAAUGUGAUAUGAAUCACAGGCAGCCAGCUAAAAGUAUUGCAAGGACAGAAAGAAACCUCACACUAGGCAUACCUCAGAGGUAUUGCAGUUUGGUUGCAGACCAGCACAAUAAAGCGAAUAUUGCAAUAAA